UAGGGAAUCUUCGGCAAUGGACGGAAGUCUGACCGAGCAACGCCGCGUGAGUGAAGAAGGUUUUCGGAUCGUAAAGCUCUGUUGUAAGAGAAGAACGAGUGUGAGAGUGGAAAGUUCACACUGUGACGGUAUCUUACCAGAAAGGGACGGCUAACUACGUGCCAGCAGCCGCGGUAAUACGUAGGUCCCGAGCGUUGUCCGGAUUUAUUGGGCGUAAAGCGAGCGCAGGCGGUUAGAUAAGUCUGAAGUUAAAGGCUGUGGCUUAACCAUAGUAGGCUUUGGAAACUGUUUAACUUGAGUGCAAGAGGGGAGAGUGGAAUUCCAUGUGUAGCGGUGAAAUGCGUAGAUAUAUGGAGGAACACCGGCGGCGAAAGCGGCUCUCUGGCUUGUAACUGACGCUGAGGCUCGAAGGCGUGGGGAGCAAACAGGAUUAGAUACCCUGGUAGUCCACGCUGUAAACGAUGAGUGCUAGGUGUUAGACCCUUUCCGGGGUUUAGUGCCGUAGCUAACGCAUUAAGCACUCCGCCUGGGGAGUACGACCGCAAGGUU
rnacentral:rRNA from 1 species